UACGUAGGGGGCAAGCGUUGUCCGGAAUCAUUGGGCGUAAAGAGCGUGUAGGCGGUUCGGUAAGUCGGCUGUGAAAGUCCAGGGCUCAACCCUGGGAUGCCGGUCGAUACUGCCGGACUAGAGUUCGGAAGAGGCGAGUGGAAUUCCCGGUGUAGCGGUGAAAUGCGCAGAUAUCGGGAGGAACACCUAUGGCGAAGGCAGCUCGCUGGGACGUUACUGACGCUGGAGA
rnacentral:rRNA from 1 species